rnacentral:rRNA from 1 species
UGGGGAAUCUUCCGCAAUGGACGAAAGUCUGACGGAGCAACGCCGCGUGAGUGAUGACGGCCUUCGGGUUGUAAAGCUCUGUUAAUCGGGACGAAUGGUCCUUGUGUGAAUAAUGCAAGGAUUUGACGGUACCGGAAUAGAAAGCCACGGCUAACUACGUGCCAGCAGCCGCGGUAAUACGUAGGUGGCAAGCGUUGUCCGGAAUUAUUGGGCGUAAAGCGCGCGCAGGCGGUUUCAUAAGUCUGUCUUAAAAGUGCGGGGCUUAACCCCGUGAGGGGAUGGAAACUAUGGAACUGGAGUAUCGGAGAGGAAAGCGGAAUUCCUAGUGUAGCGGUGAAAUGCGUAGAUAUUAGGAAGAACACCAGUGGCGAAGGCGGCUUUCUGGACGACAACUGACGCUGAGGCGCGAAAGCCAGGGGAGCGAACG